GACGAACCGUGCGAACGUUGUUCGGAAUCACUGGGCUUACAGGGUGCGUAGGCGGCUUGUUAAGUAGGGUGUGAAAGCCCCCGGCUCAACCGGGGAAUGGCGCCCUAAACUGGCGAGCUAGAGUGAGAUAGGGGUGUGUGGAACUUCCGGUGGAGCGGUGAAAUGUGUUGAUAUCGGAAGGAACGCCGGUGGCGAAAGCGACACACUGGAUCUUGUCUGACGCUGAGGCACGAAAGCCAGGGGAGCGAACGGG
rnacentral:rRNA from 1 species